AACGAACGCUGGCGGCGUGCCUAACACAUGCAAGUCGAACGAGACCUUCGGGUCUAGUGGCGCACGGGUGCGUAACGCGUGGGGACCUGCCCUUAGGUUCGGAAUAACUCCCCGAAAGGGGUGCUAAUACCGGAUAGUGUCUUCGGCCCAAAGAUUUAUCGCCUUUGGUUGGGCCCGCGUUGGAUUCGCUCGUUGGUAGGGUAAAAGCCUACCAAGGCGAGGAUCCAUAGCUGGGCUGAGAGGAUGAUCAGCCACACUGGGACUGAGACACGGCCCAGACUCCUACGGGAGGCAGCAGUGGGGGAUAUUGGACAAUGGGGGAAGGCCUGAUCCAGCAAUGCCGCGUGAGUGAUGAAGGCCUUAGGGUUGUAAAGUUCUUUUACCCGGGAUGAUAAUGACAGUACCGGGAGAAUAAGCUCCGGCUAACUCCGUG
rnacentral:rRNA from 1 species